CUUAAGCAGUUCUGAAUCUUCUUUUUGAGAAAAAUCUAACUGUAACUGCAAGCACUUUCAUAACCUACCUCACCCACGUCAUCUGGGAAAGUAUAAGUCAGAUUCCACAAUUACCCCAACAGAAUGUCAAUUGUGCCACUGGAAUGUCUCAUAUCAAAAGCCGUUGGAAUUUGCUUCGUUUAACCACAUAGAAUAACUGUACCCUUGGUGCUGCCAGAAAGCUCAGUCUGCGAUUGAUUGCUGUAGUUCUCUCCCAGAGCACAGUUGAGUUGAUUGCUUUUUUGAGAAAGCCUCUAAGGGAUUUGCUGUCUGUGUGCCUAUUGGGCUGUCUGUGCCCCUGGCUGGAGCAGAAACUGAGGAAGGAAGAUCCUACGGCUCAUCAAGUAAAACGGUCUUUUGGGGAAGAAGCAUUCUUAGAAAUGCUGCACCAAGAGUUGGAAUUGAGAAUUCAGAAAACAUGAUAGAGAAGGAACAGGAAGAAACCAUUUGGACAUCCAAAAAUAAAAGGCCAGAAUCUCACUUUGUUGCCCAGGCUGGUGGUCUCUAACUCCUGGACUUAAGCAAUCCUCCCGCCUCAGCCUCCCAAAGUGCUGGGAUCACAGGUCUGAUUAUAAAAGGAGAAUUGGAGGCUUACCAAACAUCUGAAGAGCUUUCCAGAAGUUUGGUCACUUCUGAAUUAGAGAAGUUAAAACCCAAUCACCUACUAAUGCUGUGGGAAAGUUCUGCAGGUGAUACAUCACAGGGGCUCAUGAAUGUGUCUUAAGCUGGGUCAUUGAAGUGGAAUGUUUUCACAAGACCUCCUCCACUUGCUACUGUGUCCGGAAUUGGUGGGUUCUUGGUCUCACUGACUUCAAGAAUGAAGCCGCGGACCCUCGCGGGAGUGGCAAAUCAAAGGCAUUGCAGCCUCUUUCAUCACUGCCGAUUGCUGAUGCCAACCAUGUGCCAAGUGCUUAAUACGUCACCUUAAAUCUUCUCAUCCACCCUCAGAGUAGCUGCAGCAUCAACCCAGUGCCCUGACUUUCAAGACGACUAUGAAAACACCCCAACUGCUGCUAAAUUACCAGCAACAAGGAUCUGACAUUCUUAUUCAAAAGAAAGAACACCGAAAUUGACCUUACCCUGACAAUAUGAUGGCUGAAGGAUUUAUGAUCACUUAUAACAUUUGAAAUUGAGGCGGAACCUGAAGAAUAAGACUCUGGUGAAAGGUCCUAUUUAUGCUUUUGAUGUCUUUCACUUGGACAUUUACCACAUGCCUAUUGGUAGGUUUGUUACAUAGGUCAGUUAAGGUGAUACAAGAAUAAAUAAAACACUAUCCCUAUCCUUUAAUAUCAUUUAUUUAUGGGGUCAAUCACAGAUUUUCAUUUUUCAAAAUCUUUGAUAAAUGUCAGAAUUAUGUUUUUUAAUAUUUUUACAGAAUUAUUACAAUAUAUGGUAGAGGAUGGAAGGCAAGGUAGUAUGAAACGGAAAAGAUAUUUUGAAUUAAGGUAUUUGGACCUGGAUUAAUAUUUUUGCUUUGGUCUUUAUUAGCUGAGUGACCUUGAGAAAGUUCUUCUACUAAAAAAGAACAAAGAUAAUAAUUACUUCAUGAAAUUGCUGUAAAAAACACAUAACAAGUAUAUCCAGACUCAACAGUGUAUGCUCAAAAAUGCAGAUCCUUUUUCCCUUACCUGCAAAUAAAGUCUUACAGUAAUACAGUGGGGGUAAAGGUUUAAACUGGUGGAUUCAAGAAGGGCUAUAGAAAGAGGUAGCAUCUUAAUAGGGGAAGGAGAGGAUCCAAGAAAUCAGAUCCAUUUUCUACAAAAAGAAAUGGGAAGACAGAUAAUUCAAGAAGAAAAGUUUACAUGAUUAAAGACCCGAAGUUAGAAAUAGUGAUGUGUCUCAAUAGUAAGUUAGGAAUUGGGGUGGACACAAUUGUUGGAAGAAGGAUGGUUUCAGCAAAGGCCCAAGUUAGGUGACAAUUUCAAGUGUUUGUGAAGAUAUAUGAACAAAAUUAUAAAGUAGUUAGGGUAUAAGAAAUAGGGAGGAGGGAAUGAAUUAACAUUUAUGGAGUGUCUUGCAUGUUCCAAGCACUGUACUACUUGCCUUAUAAACCUUUCUUCAAUAAACGCCUACAACAAUCCUGAGAUGUGGAAUUAUUAGUUCCUCAAUGGACCCAGAGAGUUUCAAUUAUGUGCUUAAGAACACAGAGUUAGUAAAGGACAGAGACAGAAUUCAAAUUAAGCCUAUGUUACUCCACAUCCUAUGCAUUCACUAAACCUCUCAAGAAAACCAAUUUAUUGGACCUUUUAAUCAUUUAAGAAUGAGAUGAUAGGGGGCGGUUCCAAGAUGGCCAAAUAGGAACAGCUCCAGUCUACAGCU
rnacentral:lncRNA from 10 species